GCAUGCUGGCGCUCACGUACAAAAGUUAAAUACAUGUGUUAAUGGGUCUGGCUACACCAUUUUUCAACGGUUUUUUUUAUUUGAAACAUAAUUAGUUUAAUUAUUUUUUAAAUAUAGUUAUUUUGGAAUUUAUUUUAAAAAGCAUGGUUAUUUUUUUAAAAAGUUCACCUCAAUGACUACGAGUCUAUAUUAUCUUGACAUUCUCAUACAUCAUAACAAUA
rnacentral:lncRNA from 1 species